rnacentral:rRNA from 1 species
GGAGUUAGCCGGUGCUUCUUCUGUGAGUGAUGUCCUUCCUGCCGGCUAUUAACCCGCAGGCCUUCUUCCUCACUGAAAGUGCUUUACAACCCGAAGGCCUUCUUCACACACGCGGCAUGGCUGGAUCAGGGUUGCCCCCAUUGUCCAAUAUUCCCCACUGCUGCCUCCCGUAGGAGUCUGGGCCGUGUCUCAGUCCCAGUGUGGCUGAUCAUCCUCUCAGACCAGCUACGGAUCGUCGCCUUGGUGAGCCGUUACCUCACCAACCAGCUAAUCCGACAUAGGCUCAUCCGAUAGCGCGAGGCCCGAAGGUCCCCCGCUUUCCCCCGUAGGGCGUAUGCGGUAUUAGCCUGGGUUUCCCCAGGUUAUCCCCCACUACCGGGCAGAUUCCUAUGCAUUACUCACCCGUCCGCCGCUCGCCACCAGGGAGCAAGCUCCCCGUGCUGCCGCUCGACUUGCAUGUGUUAGCGUCGCCGCCACGCGUUCAUACUGAACCAACGAUACAACUUACUGA